rnacentral:rRNA from 1 species
GUCUACAGCCAUACCACUCUGAACGUGCCUGAUAUCAGAAGCUAAGCAGAGUCAGGCCUAGUUAGUACUUGGAUGGGAGAUAAGUAUGAGAAGGUAAAGUAUAUU